UAGAUGCGAGAGUAGAGCAUAUCAAUAAGCGGAGGAAAAGUCAGUACUACCUACGCUUAGGAUGUUGACGAGACUGUCGAUCUCAUCUAUACAUGACUCUGUGCAUAUCAAUAAGCGGAGGAAAAGGAGUAUACCUACGCUUAGGAUGUUGACGAGACUGUCGAUCUCAUCUAUACAUGACUCUGUGCAUAUCAAUAAGCGGAGGAAAAGGAGUAUACCUACGCUUAGGAUGUUGACGAGACUGUCGAUCUCAUCUAUACAUGACUCUGUGCAUAUCAAUAAGCGGAGGAAAAGAAACUAACAAGGAUUCCCUUAGUAACGGCGAGUGAAGCGGGAAGAGCUCAAAUUUGAAAUCUUCAAGGUCCUACCUUGACGAAUUGUAGUUUAUAGAAGUGUUUUCUGUUAGUAGGAGUGGCAAAAGUUCUUUGGAAUAGGACAUCAUAGAGGGUGAGAAUCCCGUAUUUGGUCAUUCUUUCUAGCUUUGUGAUACACUUUCAACGAGUCGGAUUGUUUGGGAAUGCAGUCCAAAAUGGGUGGUAAAUUUCAUCUAAAGCUAAAUAUUGGCGAGAGACCGACAGCGAACAAGUACCGUGAGGGAAAGAUGAAAAGAACUUUGAAAAGAGAGUUAAACAGUACGUGAAAUUGUCAAAAGGGAAGCGUUUGACACCAGUGUUGUUUUUCCGAAAAUCAAUUACGAAUGUUUUAUUUUUGAGGAGUUAUGACUUCAUCGGCUUGCUCCUUUCUUUAUGAAACUUUCUUAAUGCACUUUUCGGUUAACAAGUCAACAUCAAUUUCUUUUGUUGUAAAAGGGUCAUUGGAAGGUGGCUUUCUUUUCGGAGAAAGUGUUUAUAGCCUUUGACUUCUGCAAUCGGAGAGAUUGAGGUCUGCAGCGUAGAUCCUUCGAGGUUAGAUGCAUUUGUGCUAAGCUAUAGCCUUUCAUAGACAACUUGUUGACUAUGAUCAGUCAUGUAGCUUACUCGCUUAUGUCAUUUUACCUACGCUUAGGAUGUUGACGAGACUGUCGAUCUCG
rnacentral:rRNA from 1 species